CCCGCACGCCGGAAGACCAAGGGUUCCUAUCCCAUGUUAAUCAGGGUAGGGUAAGUCGACCCCUAAGGCGAGGCCGAAAGGCGUAGUCGAUGGGAAACGGAUUAAUAUUUCCGUACUUGGUAUAAUUGCGAUGGGGGGACGGAGCAGGCUAAGCAAGCAUGGCGAUGGUAGUCCAUGUGAAAGUGUGUAGGCUAGCGACUUAGGUAAAUCCGGGUUGCUGUUAGGCUGAGACACGAGACGAGUCACUACGGUGAUGAAGUUGCUGAUGCCAUACUUCCAGGAAAAGCCUCUAAGCUUCAGAUUAUACCGAAUCGUACCCCAAACCGACACAGGUGGUCAGGUAGAGAAUACUAAGGCGCUUGAGAGAACUCGGGUGAAGGAACUAGGCAAAAUCGUACCGUAACUUCGGGAGAAGGUACGCUCCGAUUGGUGAUGAGACUUGCUCUCUAAGCUGAUUGGAGCCGCAGUGACCAGGUGGCUGGGACUGUUUAUUAAAAACACAGCACUGUGCAAAAUCGCAAGAUGACGUAUACGGUGUGACACCUGCCCGGUGCCGGAAGGUUAAUUGAUGGGGUUAUCUUCGGAGAAGCUCUUGAUCGAAGCCCCGGUAAACGGCGGCCGUAACUAUAACGGUCCUAAGGUAGCGAAAUUCCUUGUCGGGUAAGUUCCGACCUGCACGAAUGGUGUAACCAUGGCCACGCUGUCUCCACCCGAGACUCAGUGAAAUUGAAAUCGCAGUGAAGAUGCUGUGUACCCGCGGCUAGACGGAAAGACCCCGUGAACCUUUACUACAGCUUGGCACUGAACAUUGAACCUACAUGUGUAGGAUAGGUGGGAGACUUUGAAGAUGAGACGCUAGUUUUGUUGGAGUCGUCCUUGAAAUACCACCCUUGUAGUUUUGAUGUUCUAACGUUGGCCCCUGAAUCGGGGUUACGGACAGUGCCUGGUGGGUAGUUUGACUGGGGCGGUCUCCUCCCAAAGAGUAACGGAGGAGCACGAAGGUUGGCUAAGUACGGUCGGACAUCGUACGGUUAGUGUAAUGGUAGAAGCCAGCUUAACUGCGAGACAGACACGUCGAGCAGGUACGAAAGUAGGUCAUAGUGAUCCGGUGGUUCUGAAUGGAAGGGCCAUCGCUCAACGGAUAAAAGGUACUCCGGGGAUAACAGGCUGAUACCGCCCAAGAGUUCAUAUCGACGGCGGUGUUUGGCACCUCGAUGUCGGCUCAUCACAUCCUGGGGCUGAAGUCGGUCCCAAGGGUAUGGCUGUUCGCCAUUUAAAGUGGUACGCGAGCUGGGUUUAGAACGUCGUGAGACAGUUCGGUCCCUAUCUGCCGUGGGCGUUUGAGAAUUGAGAGGGGUUGCUCCUAGUACGAGAGGACCGGAGUGAACGAACCGCUGGUGUUCGGGUUGUCAUGCCAAUGGCAUUGCCCGGUAGCUACGUUCGGAACUGAUAAGCGCUGAAAGCAUCUAAGCGCGAAGCAGGCCUCGAGAUGAGUUCUCACUAGACUUUUAAAGUCUCUGAAGGGCCGUUGAAGACUACAACGUUGAUAGGCAAGAUGUGGAAGUGGUGUGAGCCAUUAAGCUAACUUGUACUAAUUACCCGUGAGGCUUAACCAUA
rnacentral:rRNA from 1 species